UACAGAGGUCCCAAGCGUUGUUCGGAUUCACUGGGUUUAAAGGGUGCGUAGGCGGGUUGGUAAGUCCGUGGUGAAAUCUCCGAGCUUAACUCGGAAACUGCCGUGGAUACUAUCAAUCUUGAAUAUCGUGGAGGUAAGCGGAAUAUGUCAUGUAGCGGUGAAAUGCUUAGAGAUGACAUAGAACACCAAUUGCGUAGGCAGCUUACUACACGAUCAUUGACGCUGAGGCACGAAAGCGUGGGGAGCAAACAGG
rnacentral:rRNA from 1 species